CACCCUGCCGCGUACGCCCUCGUAUUAAUUCUCACACUGUACUGAUUUUGCUAGUGGCUCAUAUUCACCUUGCACCCUAUCAAGGCUUAAAAUUAUUAAUAAAUAUUAGAAUACUUGAAUAUACAAGUGAUUUAGUGUUAGUUCGUCCCGUACUGGGGACUUCUAAGCGGUUGAAGACCUGUGCUGAAGCUGGCUGAUGGAACUGCAUCCUGCAUUGCUCCGCUGACUGACUGUCGCCGAGGCCAUCCCGACACCCCCGACUGACACCCAAACAGGAGAGUGCGGUGUUCGCAACCUUCUACGUGGUCCGACCUUUGUACCGGCCUUACUCAUUGCCCUCUCAUUACGUAUUUACCUAGGUUACUGUUAAGUUUAUGCGAACAUUUUAAAUAUAGUUUAAUUUUUAUUUUUA